rnacentral:rRNA from 1 species
CUGCUGCCUCCCGUAGGAGUUUGGUCCGUGUCUCAGUACCAAUGUGGGGGGUUGGACCUCUCAGUCCCCCUAUGUAUCGUCGCCUUGGUGAGCCGUUACCUCACCAACUAGCUAAUACAACGCAUGUCCAUCUCUGACCACCUGAGUUUUCAACCACCGAAGAUGCCUCCGGUGAUGUUAUGGGGUAUUAGUACCAAUUUCUCGAUGUUAUCCCCCUGUCAAAGGUAGGUUACAUACGCGUUACGCACCCGUCCGCCGGUCGCCGG